CGGCGGCAACGCUCUUUGGUCAUGGUUAAACAGAUAAGGCCGCGACCAUGAGUCGCCAUGAAGUUAAUUGCUGCUGGCGUGAUAUGCUCCGCCGCCAUGAUCA
rnacentral:antisense_RNA from 1 species